GACGAACCGUGCAAACGUUAUUCGGAAUCACUGGGCAUAAAGGGCGCGUAGGCGGCUCCAAAAGUCAGGGGUGAAAUCCGGCAGCUUAACUGUCGCAGUGCCUUUGAUACUGUGGAGCUAGAGGGAGGUAGGGGUCUGUGGAACUUCCGGUGGAGCGGUGAAAUGCGUUGAUAUCGGAAGGAACGCCGGUGGCGAAAGCGACGGACUGGAUCUCUUCUGACGCUGAGGCGCGAAAGCCAGGGGAGCGAACAGG
rnacentral:rRNA from 1 species